rnacentral:rRNA from 1 species
AUUGAACACUGGCGGCAUGCCUUACACAUGCAAGUCGAACGGUAACAGGUCUUCGGAUGCUGACGAGUGGCGAACGGGUGAGUAAUACAUCGGAACGUGCCUAGUAGUGGGGGAUAACUACUCGAAAGAGUGGCUAAUACCGCAUGAGAUCUACGGAAGAAAGCAGGGGAUCGCAAGACCUUGUGCUACUAGAGCGGCCGAUGGCAGAUUAGGUAGUUGGUGGGAUAAAAGCUUACCAAGCCGACGAUCUGUAGCUGGUCUGAGAGGACGAUCAGCCACACUGGGACUGAGACACGGCCCAGACUCCUACGGGAGGCAGCAGUGGGGAAUUUUGGACAAUGGGCGAAAGCCUGGUCCAGCAAUGCCGCGUGCAGGAUGAAGGCCUUCGGGUUGUAAACUGCUUUUGUACGGAACGAAAAGCCCCGGGUUAAUACCCUGGGGUCAUGACGGUACCGUAAGAAUAAGCACCGGCUAACUACGUGCCAGCCGCCGCAGUAA